CAAUAGCGGAUAUUAAAGUUGUUGCAGUUAAAAAGCUCGUAGUUGAAUUUUUGCUUGCCGCCGAUGUCGGAACUUCCGUACGUUCGGCGGCGUGCAUCCUUGGGUGGAACCUGUGUGGCAUUAGGUUGUCGUGCAGGGGAUGCUCAUCGUUUACUGUGAAAAAAUUAGAGUGUUCAAAGCAGGCUUACGCCGUUGAAUAUAUUAGCAUGGAAUAAUAAGAUAGGACCUUGGUACUAUUUUGUUGGUUUGCGCACCGAGGUAAUGAUUAACAGGGACAGUUGGGGGUAUUCGUAUUCCAUUGUCAGAGGUGAAAUUCUUGGAUUUCUGGAAGACGAACUACUGCGAAAGCAUUUACCAAGGAUGUUUNCAUUAA
rnacentral:rRNA from 1 species